CACGUAGGGGGCAAGCGUUGUCCGGAAUCAUUGGGCGUAAAGAGCUCGUAGGCGGCUCAGUAAGUCGGGUGUGAAACCCCCAGGCUCAACCUGGGGACGCCACCCGAUACUGCUGUGGCUAGAGUCCAGUAGGGGAGUGUGGAAUUCCCGGUGUAGCGGUGAAAUGCGCAGAUAUCAGGAAGAACACCUAUGGCGAAGGCAGCUCUCUGGGACGGUACUGACGCUGAGACGCGAAAGCGUGGGGAGCGAACAGG
rnacentral:rRNA from 1 species